CGCACUUUAGGUCAAUGGGAAGGUUGAGAUUUAACCUUAGUCAUGUUGAUGAAGAACUAAAGUAUUAUCAUUAUUUUAAUUUUAUUUCACAAUGUUGGAAUUAGGCUUUUGGAGUAAGUUUUAAGGUUUUUAAGGUCUCAAUUUCAUAUAUUUUGGUUAACAAACUUUAAAAAUGAAUAAAUAUAGUCUUUUUAACUUUUUUAUUUUAUUUUAUUUUUUUAUCUAU
rnacentral:lncRNA from 1 species